ensembl:snoRNA Small nucleolar RNA SNORD49
UUCUCUGAUGAAUUCGUUACAUAGGAAAAGCCGUCCGAUGCGAUAACUGACGAUUGUAACCGGUUCUGAGA